AGUGAACGCUGGCGGUAGGCCUAACACAUGCAAGUCGAACGGCAGCACAGUAAGAGCUUGCUCUUACGGGUGGCGAGUGGCGGACGGGUGAGGAAUACAUCGGAAUCUACUUUUUCGUGGGGGAUAACGUAGGGAAACUUACGCUAAUACCGCAUACGACCUACGGGUGAAAGCAGGGGAUCUUCGGACCCUGCGCGAUUGAAUGAGCCGAUGUCGGAUUAGCUAGUUGGCGGGGUAAAGGCCCACCAAGGCGACGAUCCGUAGCUGGUCUGAGAGGAUGAUCCGCCACACUGGAACUGAGACACGGUCCAGACUCCUACGGGAGGCAGCAGUGGGGAAUAUUGGACAAUGGGCGCAAGCCUGAUCCAGCCAUACCGCGUGGGUGAAGAAGGCCUUCGGGUUGUAAAGCCCUUUUGUUGGGAAAGAAAAGCAGCAGGUUAAUACCCCGCUGUUCUGACGGUACCCAAAGAAUAAGCACCGGCUAACUUCGUG
rnacentral:rRNA from 1 species